rnacentral:snoRNA from 1 species
CAUAAUGAUGAACGAACAUGCGUGAACAAUCUCUGAGUAGACCUUAGUGUCUAUGUAGGAUUAUAAAACUUGUUGCCUUCCUUCUGAUG